UGCUUCAUCUGCCCUCUGUCUGGGAGCUGCAUGUUCUGUCUUUGCAGGGCGAAGGAGAAAACCAAAUCUGAUGAUAAUUACAGAAUUAUCCAAAUGCUGAUCAUGCCAUGAGGAACCACGUUUCCAUCUCCUGCUUUGCUUGUUUUGAAAAUGAGGAUUUCUGCAGGAUGGAAAUUCCUGGUGUCUGUCCUUUCACAAAACUGCUGUGAAUUUUGACUGAGCAGAGGAGCCAGCAGGCAAGCACUGGAGCUGCAGUUUGAACAUUGGAUUGGCAGAGAAUUCUAAGGGUUCCCUCUGCUGUACUUCAACGUUUGUCUGCAAGACCAGACUUCAUUGUUGUAGACCAGCCUUUCAUUUUGUUCUCUCAGGCUGCACUCUCCCAAGGGAAAUGAAGACUGGAUCUCUAAGAGUGUCCUGUGCAGUUCUGGAGGUCACAAAGCU
rnacentral:lncRNA from 1 species